CCUCUGGUGGCUCAGAUGGUAAAGCGUCUGCCUACAAUGCGGGAGACCCGGGUUCGAUCCCUGGGUAGGGAA
rnacentral:tRNA from 1 species